UUGAAAGAGCAGAGAAUGCUCUUAACCACUGAGCCAUCUCUCCAGCCCAAAGUAGGUCAAGUUUACUUUGGUUCAUGUACUCAGAAACUUCAGCCAGUGGCUGUUAGUCUUAUGGAAAGACAGAAUCAUCAUGGUAGGCUGGACCUGGCAGGGCAAAACUGCUCAUUUCAUGAAGGCCAGAAAGCAGAGAGAGUGGUAGGGACUGGGUAACAAGGCACACCCCACUGAUCUACUUCCUGUAUCUAGGCCCCAUCUCAAAAUAGCCAACUCAGCUAUGAAUUUCUGAGCAGUGCAAUCAAGAAACUGGCUAACCCAUUGCUUUUGUUAGAGCCCAUGGACCAGCAGGAAGUCAUAGAUUCGGCAUUUGCUAUGGUGCAGGGUUUAUGCAAAGGUUAUAUCAGCCACAGUUUGCUCUUUGGCCUUCAGGGAUGAGCUUCUCUCCCAAAUGUAGAUGCCCAAGUUUUCCCUUUCUGUUGUUUUACUUUCUAGGGUUUCAGUUACCUCCAAGCAACCACUGAUAUUAAAUAGAAAAUUCUAGAGAUGAAUAAAUCCCACUCUCCAGAUUGCAUGAUGUGUUGAGAAGCGUGAUGGACAUCCUAGGCCAGCUGGGAUCUGAGUUACCACGGAUUCCAAGUGUUUCAUGCUGCAUUAGAUCCGUGCCUGCUAGUCACUCAGUGCUCAAGUCUGUUGUCACAUUGGCUGUGGUGAUACUAAGGGCUUAUAGUCACGUGACCCUUCUUUUACUUAAUAACGGCCCCAACCCCAACAGUAAAGAGGCAGCAAUUUCAUUGCGGGUUAUUAUUAUAAUUACUGUGUUUUAUUAUUGAUUUGUUAAUUUUCUUUUGUGCUUGAUUCAUAAGUUAAACUUUACGAUGGGUCUGUAUACAUAGAAAACAUAAUAUAUAUAUAUAUGGGUCAGUUUUAUCUAUGGUUUCAGAUGACCACUGGAAACCUUCAGUGUAUUCCAUAUGAAUUAAGGGGGACUGGUGCAAGUUGAUUCCAUUUUAUGAUCCUUAAAGUCCCAUUAUAUAUCCUCUUUAAGCCCCUCCCCAUGUCUCUGCUUCAACAGAGUUAGUUUUAUGCUUUCUGCUGUGGGUGAUGCUGUUGUAGACAAAUCUGUACAGACCUGGGUUUCCUUAGCCACUCACAAGGAUGAUUAAGGAAUUUCAUGCCUUAACCUCUUAACAAACACAUAUAGAUUAUAAUGGGUACCUUGCAAGGAGAGAAGUCUAUUCCACUGUGUAUAUGAAAAAUUAUUCCUCUAUGCUCUUUGGAUUUCUCAGCUCCAGUCCAGAUGUCUUAUGCCUUAAACACUUCUUUGAUUUUGGUACCUUCUACUCCAUCUCUUUUCUAUCACUGACUUCUCCCUUCUGUCUCCCAUUUCCAGUCCUUUCUUAGCCACACACAGUCUCUCUGUCACAUUUGGACCUCCUUUCUAGAUCUCCUUUUCCCUCUUUCCAUCUCUUCUCUCCUCUUGCAUUGUUAGCAACCCCACUUUGAAAACUCAUUCAGUAGAAUCAGAGGUCCUUCUCAGUACCCAUGGUUCUUGAAACUCAGAGUUUUCAAAUGCCCACCAAAGAACCAUUUUAUCAGAAUAAUGCCUUCCACAUCUUUAUCCCUUACUGCUGUAUACUAGAGUCACAUAUUAUUGAAUGACUUAACGAACAUCACAAAAUUUUAUUUGGACAAUUUAAAUCCCCUAAGUCUACACUUUGGCUUUACUUGCUUUGCCUUUAGCCUCAACAGACAAAUUUGUAGUGUAAAUUGACCAGUUGUGACAGUUAGCAUGAUGUUAUACUCUGGGAUCUGAUUGGGGAAAAAGGUGUUAGAAACAUUCACUCUGAUGCUUGAAUUCCAUUUCACCAUGGUCAUUUGGAUCUCCCUCCUCUGUUAUAGACAAGUCACCAUUUUGCUACAGAGAGCUUACAGCAGAGUAUGUGGAAAUAUGGAAGGACCAUAUUCACAGCUAUUCCACUGUGAUGGGAAUAGCGCUAUUCUCGCUGGGCAUGUAGGAGGAAGGUGCCUCCUUCCUGCCAGAGAUCACAUGGGGCCAUUUGACUUGAACCAAUGAGAAGCCGGUAGGAGGUGAUGUAUCACACUGCUUUCAAGAGCUUGAGCGGUCGUGCAUGAUCUUCCAUGUUUGAUUUUCCAUGGUCAAAAGCAUGUGUGGAGAGGAACUCUUUUUCAGCCUGCACCCUGGGGAAACUCCAACUCUCCAUACCAUUCCUCCUGCCCCUCCAUUAGACAAGCAGAGUGAGUGAGAAAUACAUGCUUGACUCGGUGCUGAGCCGGGGAAACAGCCCUCUUGUUGUUCUGACUGAUACGGUCUCUAAAAUUGACUUUGCCAGCAUGAAUACCUUUCAACUCAUCUGCUAAGUAAUUUGAUAGAAUCACAUUUUCAAAUCUUCAGAGGCAUAUACAAAUAUGUUGGCGAGAGUACUUUGCAACAUGUUCCUGGCUGACCUGAAAGCUUCUGUUGACAGAAUAAAUUUGCUUUUGCUUUUCUUGUUAUUUCUUUCUCGUUUGGUCUUUUCUCAGGAAGCAGUGACUCUGGCAGCCUAGCGGGUGUGGUCUCUGGACACAGGACAAGAUUCGGAGAAAGAGUGCAGGGAAGACCCAGUACUGCUCUCUCCUUGACAUAGACGUGAUUUCUGUUUCCAUCUGUUCAACAUCCCUUCAGAGGAAAAGUUUCAACUCUCCUCUAUAUACUCACCCAGACUUCUCUGCAAACCUGCUUGGAGGGUCUGCACUUGACAAUGAAAUAAUUAUGUCUUCCUUGUGAAGAACGCCCUUCACCGAUGUUUGGGGUACUUGCUUGUAUUGAGAAAAUAAAAACAAGUUGAUAGGAGGUGGCAGAUUUGAAGUUUUGCCAAGGUAAGAGAAGGUAUAAAAUGACUUCGUGGAAUAGUGGGGUAGAGAAAUGUGGUGGUUCAGUUUAGCAAAGAAUCUGAAUUCAAGUCAGUUUGAUUGUGUGUUUGUCUCCAGCACUGGUUAGCUCUGUGGGUGCAGGCACAGACUAUGGACAGAACCAGACUUAAUUAGGAUUGUUUUUGCCAGGUGCAUAGUAGAUUGAGAGAUGCAAGGAUGGGCUGUGUACAAGGGAAAGAAAUGAAGGAAUAUAAAUUUAAGUUGAGUAAGUAAGUAAGGGACAUCAUAUGGGGGUUAGUCACGGUGACCAUGGGAUGGAUCAGUGAACUGAAAUUCUUAGCAGGAUGAAGGACGCUGGACUUGAGGAACUGUGGUUUGCCUGUUAGAUAACACCUCAGCAUUGUUUCAGCAUCCCUAGUGCUGAUGCAUCUGAUAAUAGGGACCGCACUUACCAUGGCCUGCUAGAGUUCCCUACAAGAUCUGCUUCUCCAUCUCUGCCCCAAAUCUCCAGUUUUCUUUUCCAGAGCUCACCCAUCAGUCCUUGCUUUUCUGCUAGUUCACCUGUUUCCCUUGAACAUCCCAGACAGGCUUGAGCCUUUGCAUUUGAUGCUUGCUCUUUCGGGAACAGUCUCUUUUCACAUAUCAGCCUGACUCAGUCUUGUGCUCCAAAAGUGUUUGCUCAGGUACUUUCUGUGCCUGGCCAUCAUUAUUAACAGAAGAUGACUGUCCCCAUGCUUCCUAGGCCCCUUUCUGACUUUAUUUUUCCAUGAAGCACUUAUCAUACAUUAAUUACAUGAAGUAUAAGAAGCCUAUAUGCUCUAAUUUAUAGACUAGGACUAUAAAGUAAAAAAAAAUCUUUUGUACACUGCUUAGAAAAAAUAGAUCUCAGAUCAAGACAUUAAAAAAGAUAGGAAGAUAUGAAAAUAACUACAUGACAUUAACUGUAAGUGAUAUACAAGCGAAUAUUAUUUCUAAGACCUACUUGUUAACGUUGACCUUGGUUCAAUAGGUAUAUGAAUAAUAUUAAUAUAUUAUCAAAGUUCAGCAUCUUGAAAACCAUUUUAAGAACUGUUUAUGAUGAGCAAUGUCUGGCAUGUAAUGAUCUAUCUAGAGAGUGAGGAUGUAGACCAUGUGAACCUUUAAAGGUUAUACUGGGUCCCUGGGCAGAUCCCUUCCUUCCUCUGUGCUUUUCAUCUGAUAUGAGGCAAGCCACCUUGCUCUAUCACAUGCUCCCUACGACGGAUGGGACUCCAUCUCAUCCCACUCAAGCCCAGAAACAGCGGAGUCAAGUGACCAAAGACUAAAAUCCUUGAAACUGGGAGCCUUCUUCUGUAAACUGUCUCAGGUAAUUUGGGAUGGCUGCAGCAAUUCUGCAAGCAAAAGUAAGAGUAGAGAGAGUGGCAAGUGGGUGCUGUUGUAAUCGGCACAGGUGAGCUCCCUGGGGUGACAGUGGGUUGUCCAGUGUUGUGGGGCUGCGGUGCUCAGGGAAGAGACAGCAAGGGGGCUAUUUACUCCAUUGCCAGGCCCAGUGAGAAACAUGGCUGUGACAAUCACCAGCCCUGGAAGUCACAGGGGGGAGUAUACUUUCAAGGAAUGAAAGCUUUAAUAAAGCUUUUGUAAGUAAAAGGAAUUUUCAGGAAAAAAAGGUUACUGAAAUAGAGUGGUGUUUUAGCUCACCCCCAACACCGUAUAGGUGUGACUCUAUAAUCCGCAGAGAUAGCUUUCCGGAACUGGGGCAAAAUUUGGCUCAGCAGACCUCUGGGAAGGGGAAAACCAGUGCCUGAGCAACAAGGAAGCCUUGGGACUGCUAGAGGCACUUUUUACUCUGAUAUACGGGCAUACCCUUUCUGGGGAAUUACUUCGAGGUCACCAUUGUUCUUAAUUCCUGUUGAAGAGAAAGAAACGGAGACAUAGGAGGUUUAGGAACUUUCCCCAUUACAGAGAACAUUCUAGAACUCAAGUUAAUGCAUCAGCCCUUUUUGACAGCACAAGCUGGUGCCUGGACAAGAGUUGGCUCUAGAAAGUGUUCUGUACAAGUGGGUGUCUAUGAUCACCUCUCUGUGUCACCAAAAUGAAAUCUUAUAAAAAAGAAAAGAAAGUUUGUUUACUGAACAAAGAAUAGGGCUUCACUAUUUAUUAGUUACAUGUAGCUGAAAUUUUGUCUCUCUUUGUCUCUCAUUCUUUGUCUCUGUUUCUCUUUCUUUGUCUCAAUCUCUUUCUGUGUGUUUGCCUUAUUUUUUUGGAGGCAUUUCAGCUAGAUGAGCUGGUCAGCAAGCCCCUGGGAUCCACCUGUGUCUGCUCAUCAGCACCGAGUUUACUGGUGCUAGCCUUACUUCACACAGUCUUUAUGUGGGAAAUCUGAACCCAGAACUUCAUGCUUGUACAAUAAACAUGUUACCACUGAUUCAUCUCCUCAGUCCCUUUGUGGCCUUAAAAUCAUGCUCUCUGAACAAGUUUAUGAUUAAAUGAUGGUGAAUGCGGAGAUUCACGACUGCUCCAUAUGUUAAGAGUGAAUAGUGACUGAGUAUAGCUCUAAGUAAGAGUUUAAUACCACCAUCUCUGAGACUCACAAAACAUCUCCAAAGAAGACAGAAAGAAUACAUGGGUUUGAAGCAACACCUGUCCCCAGUCCCCUCUAGAAGAGGGAAAGAAGCGGGAAGAUUGCUCAUUGGAAAUGAUGGCAGCCACCAAGACUGAAAUAUUCUCAUGCUGUCUCCCUUCUAUCCUACUUCUGAAGUCACCAGAUACCAAGGACACUCUCACAGCUCACCCCUGGACCAGAGCCACGAAGGGAGAGAACACAUCUGGUAUCAAUCCUGUCUCACAAUUUUCAGCUUCCCUGUGAAUGCUGAGGCUUUGAAUCCUCUCUUUAGAGCAAUCAGUUUAUAGGCCCAAACCUUCAGAUGGAUGUGUACUUAUCACCCCCUCAUCAGAGAAGCUUCUCUUCACAACAAAUGGAGAUCUUCACAGGAAACCACAGCUGAAUACAAUGCAGAGAUCAUGGCGAGCCCAGCUUCAAUGGACACAUCUACAGUACCGCUCCUGCAUCUAUGGCUGAGGGGACAUUACAAGUGAGUGUGGAAAGAUUAUAAGAGCUAAAAUACCAGAAUACCAAGAGUCUGCUCUGGAAUGGUUUCUUCUAGAAAUGGUUACGCAAACAGGGCUGGAACAGGGUCAAUAUCAACAGGGAUGCUAAUACAAAUAAGGAAAAUAUCACAAGGUCCCACCCCUAGAUAAAGAACUCUGGGCAACUAAUGACUGCUGAGUUGGGGGGGAGGUGAUAGGGGAGUUCAGCCAAUCAUAUUCUGUUUUCGGGGCGU